UAGGGAAUCUUCCGCAAUGGACGCAAGUCUGACGGAGCAACGCCGCGUGAGUGAAGAAGGAUUUCGGUUCGUAAAACUCUGUUGUUAGAGAAGAACAGCGCAUAGAGUAACUGUUAUGCGUGUGACGGUAUCUAACCAGAAAGCCACGGCUAACUACGUGCCAGCAGCCGCGGUAAUACGUAGGUGGCAAGCGUUAUCCGGAUUUAUUGGGCGUAAAGCGAGCGCAGGCGGUCAAUUAAGUCUGAUGUGAAAGCCCCCGGCUCAACCGGGGAGGGUCAUUGGAAACUGGUUGACUUGAGUGCAGAAGAGGAGAGUGGAAUUCCAUGUGUAGCGGUGAAAUGCGUAGAUAUAUAGAGGAACACCAGUGGCGAAAGCGACUCUCUGGUCUGUAACUGACGCUGAGGUUCGAAAGCGUGGGUAGCAAACAGG
rnacentral:rRNA from 1 species